rnacentral:rRNA from 1 species
CAUGCAAGCGGAGGGCGCGGUCGAAAGAUCGUGGCCCCGCACACUGCUCAGUAACACGUAGUCAACCUACCCUUGGGACGGGGACAACCUCGGGAAACUGAGGCUAAUCCCCGAUAGGUGAGGGACGCUGGAAUGCCUCCUCGCCCAAAGCUCCGGCGCCCAAGGAUGGGACUGCGGUCUAUCAGGCUGUUGGUGGUGUAACGGACCACCAAACCUACGACGGGUACGGGCGAUGGGAGUCGGAGCCCGGAGAUGGGGACUGAGACAAGGCCCCAGGCCCUACGGGGCGCAGCAGGCGCGAAAACUCCGCAAUGCGCGCAAGCGUGACGGGGGAAUCCCAAGUGCCGUUGGUCUUAUGAUCGACGGUUUUUAGGAAGUCCAAGAAGCUUCCAGAAUAAGGGCUGGGCAAGACUGGUGCCAGCCGCCGCGGUAACACCAGUAGCCCAAGUGGUGACCACGAUUAUUGGGCCUAAAGCGCUCGUAGCCGGAUCAGCAAGUCCCUUGUGAAAUCGGGCCGCCAACGGUUCGGCGUGCAAGGGAUACUGUUGGUCUUGAGGCCGGGAGAGGUCGGAGGUACUCCUGGGGUAGCGGUGAAAUGCUCUAAUCCUAGGGGGACCACCAGUGGCGAAGGCGUCCGACCAGAACGGGCCUGACGGUGA